UCUUAGUUAAAUUAAAAAAAAAAAUUGACAUAUUAAAAAAAUUGACAUAUAUGAACACGAAAUACUAAUUUUCAACCUUCUUAGAAAAUUUUUUCAAAAAACUAUCAUAGCCUAUAAUGUUGGAAAUAACUUUGGGCUGGCGCAUACCCUGUGAUCUAUCCCAACGAACAAGAUUCAAAAUCCCAGCAGGAGGGGUUCGUAGCAAAUGACAGUCCAAACUCGCCUCCACUGCCAAAUUAGCCAAUUUGUUCGCCACCCUUUUAGCUUCUUUGUAGCAAUGACUAAGGGUCACCUGCCAAGAUUGAUUCAAUAUCCCACCACAAUGAACAAUUGAGUUCACAAGCCUUCCUAUCUUGCACAUCCUCAACCGAGAGCAACUUCACAACCACUUUGGAAUCCAAGUUCACCUCCACCUUCCAAUAGCCCAGACUCCAAGCCGAAGUAAG
rnacentral:misc_RNA from 1 species